GUUAGGGGCUUGUAGCUCAGUUGGUUAGAGCGCGCGCUUGAUAAGCGUGAGGUCGGAAGUUCAAGUCUUCCCAGGCCCACCAUUUCGAUCGAGUGCAGCGCAUUCGUCUUCUGGUUACGGGGCCAUAGCUCAGCUGGGAGAGCGCGUGCUUUGCAAGCAUGAGGUCGUCGGUUCGAUCCCGUCUGGCUCCACCAGAUGGUUUGAUCAUCGACACUCAACCGUCGUCCGCGAAACAUCACUUCGCACUCACUAGUCUGGAUAGACAGUGACGUGCGUGUNUUCUGACAUCGUAAAGAGGAGAU
rnacentral:tRNA from 1 species